AUUGAACGCUGGCGGCAGGCCUAACACAUGCAAGUCGAGCGAGCGGCGGACGGGUGAGUAAUGUAUGGGGACUGCCCGAUAGAGGGGGAUAACUACUGGAAACGGUAGCUAAUACCGCAUACUAUCGGAUAACCCAUAUGGGAUUAGCUAGUAGGUGGGGUAAUGGCUCACCUAGGCGACGAUCCCUAGCUGGUCUGAGAGGAUGAUCAGCCACACUGGGACUGAGACACGGCCCAGACUCCUACGGAGGCAGCAGUGGGGAAUAUUGCACAAUGGGCGAAAGCCUGAUGCAGCCAUGCCGCGUGUGUGAAGAAGGUCUUCGGAUUGUAAAGCACUUUCAGUAGGGAGGCGUUACCAACAGAAGAAGCACCGGCUAACUUCGUGCCAGCAGCCGCGGUAAUAC
rnacentral:rRNA from 1 species